rnacentral:rRNA from 1 species
GACGAACGCUGGCGGCGUGCUUAACACAUGCAAGUCGAACGGAAAGGCCCUGCUUUUGUGGGGUGCUCGAGUGGCGAACGGGUGAGUAACACGUGAGUAACCUGCCCUUGACUUUGGGAUAACUUCAGGAAACUGGGGCUAAUACCGGAUAGGAGCUCCUGCUGCAUGGUGGGGGUUGGAAAGUUUCGGCGGUUGGGGAUGGACUCGCGGCUUAUCAGCUUGUUGGUGGGGUAGUGGCUUACCAAGGCUUUGACGGGUCGCCGGCCUGAGAGGGUGACCGGCCACAUUGGGACUGAGAUACGGCCCAGACUCCUACGGGAGGCAGCAGUGGGGAAUAUUGCACAAUGGGCGGAAGCGUGAUGCAGCAACGCCGCGUGCGGGAUGACGGCCUUCGGGUUGUAAACCGCUUUCGCCUGUGCCGAAGCGUGAGUGACGGUAAUGGGUAAAGAAGCACCGGCUAACUACGUG